rnacentral:piRNA from 1 species
UCCAGCCAAGGAAAAGUAGCCCCCAAGU